GACGAACGCAGGCGGCGUGCUUAACACAUGCAAGUCGAACGGUUAAGCGCCUUCCUUUUUGGCUGGUGUGGAUGAGUGGCGAACGGGUGAGUAACACGUGAGUAACCUGCCCCCUACUCCUUGAUAACCGCAUGAAAGUGUGGCUAAUCCCGGAUAUUCUGGGUCUGUCUCAUGAUGGGUCUGGGAAAGGUAUUGUUUCGGUGGGGGAUGGGCGCGCGGCCUAUCAGCUUGUUGGUGGGGUGAUGGCCUACCAAGGCGGUGACGGGUAUCCGGCCUGAGAGGCUCGACGGUCACACUGGUUCUGCGUGGCGGAGCGGACACCUACGGGGGGCAGCAGUGCGGAAUAUUGCACAACGGGCUCCAGCCCGAUGCAGCGCUGCGGCGCGUGAGAUGUGGCCGGGCGGGGUGGGAAGCUCGUUCGCGAGUGAAAGAGGCUUGUGUCGGUUGUGAGUGGGUUGACGGUACCUGGAGAAGAGGCGCCGUCUAACUAUGUG
rnacentral:rRNA from 1 species